UUUUCAGAUUCGUUAAGUGGGACAUAUCUCAGCUUUUGAGCGCUCAAGUAAACUAGUCUAAUUAUUCCGAGAAUCACGCGUAAAGCAGAUGGACACGGUUUCACUAACGCGAAUCUGGCCAAGUACUGCACAGGCCAGUCCUGGACUAACGGCCCGAACUGGAGUCAUUUGUUAUCGAAAUUUAUGUUAUUUAGCAGAUCUUAUGAAACAGAGACGAUGAAUGAACUUCUAGAAGUAGCUUCUCAUACGAUAGUAGUAACUUCAGUACUGGUUGACGAGGAAUAGAAUAUAGCUCACAGGCGUAUUUUGACUGAAGGCAAUUUAGCUGUUAAAUCUGAUCAGAUAUAGUUAGAACCCUUUACUGACUAUGCCGUAUAGUUUAUUCGAUCUGUAGCCCGCGGGUUAAAAUUGAUUGGACCUUCGAAUAAGGUUUCUUGGCAUAUACGCAAAUCAUCGGCCCGAUAUAUCUAAUAAUAAUAGUACCCGACUCGUACAGAGAGUGGCCAGUUCUUUAAGCACCGGUCAAUGAAACGUGAAGGGAGACAUUCAAUAAUCUUGAAGAAACUGGUUACCACACGCUCCUCGUUAGAGGAUCAUGCAGCUAACUGAGGAAGAGUCUUGGAAAAAGUGCAUACAACGAAUUAAAGCCUAAGCUUCAUUGAUACAGUCUAGAACGAUGGCCCGCAUCGAGCCUAAAACUUCGCAGAACAGUAGAAAUCUCUCACGAAACUCAGUGCCGCCACAACAAACCCUGCAAAGCUCCUAUGCUGCCGAAUGGUUUUUUCUAUGUAUACUGGAAGAACACGUUAUCUUAACGGAUUGAGCAAUCUGUAUCAGCAUAUGAUUCAAGUGGGCAGACGAUGGGGUGCAACCAAAAAAAAACCCCUCUCAUCAUAUUGAAGUGGCAAACCAGACAACAACAAUGGACCUGAAGCGUCGUGACUCCACUCCAGCCUCUCUCUACCUGACUCCAUGCUGCCUCAACGUAGCGCUUGCGACAGUAUCGGUCUGACUCCGCCGCAUUCCCUGUUGAGGCUUUGCACACAACUAGAAACGUACAUCCCGCACCGAAUAAAAUCUACUUGCCACACGCACACCCCUACUAUGUACCGCAAUACGACCGCUCUCGCCGUUGCCGAGGCCGUUUAGGAUACGUCUGGGCUCCAAAACCGAUCAGACGGAUACUCAGCGUAUGAGGGCCUUUUUAAGUCUACAUCAACUAUAUGCCAGUGGAAUCUAUUACGAAGCAUGCAAGAACAGAUAAACUCGCCGAUUCUAGAUGCGCUAGAUAAAUUCUACGAGUCCUUCUCUGAUCUUGAAAAGGAACAGUUUCAAUACGACAUAGCUAAAUGAACCUUCAGUCUGACGUGGCGACGAAAACAAGUUCAAUACACUGUAUAUCAACUUCAGAAGAGUUUCUUUGGCCGUUCAACAGAACUCGAAAAAGAUACAAUUGACGGUCAGUUCGAGCUGAGACGUUAAAAAACCUAGCCUUGCAAGCUGGAACAACGCUAUUAUCGUCGAACGGAUGCUGUCCCUGUUAAACUCGCAACAUCAAGGUCUGAUCCUUUUUCUCUGCCGAAUACAGCCAGCAACGGAAUUGCCUAUUCCAACAGUUGUUGCUAGGUGUUCGAGUUCUUUGCUCACCUGAUUGAUUUCUAUUUUUUCAGGGGCAGAAAAACGCAUUCGAACGCCUCGUUGCGGUCGGGAUCUACUUAACGUAGAGCCAGCAAACGGAAAAAGAGAAAAAGUAAUGGCAUCAUUAGUAAGCAUGUUCGGCUAUGAUCUCACUGUGUAAUCCUCCACUGAACUUGACAAUAGCAUAUUAAUUAGAAAAAGACUGACACCAAGCUUUUUCGCACAAUUUCGGAAGAUGCACACAAGUUUCCGCCCAGCCAGCAUCGUCGUAUGCCAACCGGUAUUCUUCAUAUUUGUUUUCAACUAUUCCAAUAGGAAAGUUGUACGGUAGUACAUUUAUUUUCGGAAAGGAUCUACGAACACACAAAAAUUAUUUCUCGUCAAUUAAACAAUGACUUGUGCUAGCCUGUCGUAACCAUGUUAGAGCUGACGGGAUAAAGAAGUCCAGCUGGUCCUACUGGUCUGCACAGCAGAACAAAAUGUCGCACAGAAGGACCCUGGAAAAUGUUGAAGAGAUGGUGUGCCGACAGCUUCCUCCUCUUCUCCAUUUGGAGUGAGGCUGGCACCAGCACACGCGAAGGAAGAGAUCGAAGACGCGCCAGAGCCGGAUGGAUGCCUCUGAGUAGUCUUGGGAAACGAGUACAGUAACUUGUGAGUAAAGGCAGGACGGAGGGAUUGAGUGAAAAGAGUUGUGGGUGUUAACACGGACAAUGAGGAUGCCGACCCACGAAUCAGUCCGCUUGGUACACAUCUCACCUGUUGAGAAAUAGCCGUUUGCCACGGAGUGGUCCCACUUAAACACGGAAAGUGAAAGGUGCCAAGCUCUACGGUUUAUGAGGACGCAGAAAAGAAGUUCGAGGGUUUCAAGUAGGAGGAAGGGUAAAGGCGAACAAUGGAACGGUGGUGAGGUGACGUUCGGGACUUUACUAUAAGAACUUUGCGACUGGCAGGUGAGUAUACAAUGGCAAAUGUAAGCCUGUUGGCUGGAGGUCCAAGCAACUUCCGUUCAGUGGGUGAACGUGAACGACGCCACUAAAGGCCAGACCAGCGACUACAGCCUUUUUCAAUCACCAGCUACUAUAACCGUCUUGUUAUCAGCCACGCCUUAUAAUGGCUUGUGCUGUUUACGAGAAAAGUUGUGUUUUAAAACUAUGCUGCUAUGCUUAGCAGUGAUAUUUGCUGUGACAUAUAUUGUUCACGAGCACGGGUGACACGCUACUCCGAAUGCUGCUCUACUAGGACUUACUUGGGACGGAUGUAGCUCGAACCUCCAACCUACUUUGUAUUAGAAAUUAGGGAAGGCAAAUUAGCAUGUAACGGCACUAGUAAAAUAUAAUUCAAACAUUUUGACAAUAUUUUCACAUUAAAAAUGCACUGAAAUCCCUACACUUGCGCCGUAUCAGUUUAAUCGUGAGCGAAAUGGUCCCUGGAUGGCGAAUGAUAUUUAGUUUAUUAGAUGAUGAAAAAUGUCUUCAAUGUAAAGGCGUGUCUUUCUAGGCCUCGCGACGGCCUUAAGUUUGGCAUGUAUCGGACAUGUCUGCUGACAGAGGCAUUGCCCAAUCGUGCCUCGGUCCACUCAAACAUAACCACGUUUGAAUUUUAAUAAAGCUGUACUUGAUUUGCGCGAUUAUACUUACCUUUUUCUGUUUUUAAUAUUUUA
rnacentral:lncRNA from 1 species